CUUCUGCACAGCCUUUCUUGUGUGACAAGUUUAUUGGAUAAAUGCAUUACAGCGUGUCUUGGACAAAGAAGAGUAAAGGUCAGAGACUGUUUUAGCAAAGUAAGUCUUUUCAGUGCCCAGCGACUUUAUCUCAGGAUUGAAUUGUGUUCCCAGCAGACGAGCAGCCAAAUCACGUAAAAUCACCGCUAGACUUGAAAUUAAUUUCUAAUUUUGCUGCCAGCCUUCCAGCAGAGAAGUCAGGCUGACAAGUAACGGUAAGGAUGAGAAUACCUCCUGGCAAGGCUGGAGGUGUAGUGGGGACACAGACCAGGGGGAAGGCCAAAUGUGGCAGAGCAGCAGGUGGUUUGCAUCUCUGCUUUUCAAAAUACGGAUAUUUGGUGGUCAGGCAGAGGACUUCAGCCUUCUGGGUGCUGCUGGAGUGGCACCAUUUGCAAGUACAAGAACUGCUCCUGGGUCUCCCCUGUGAGACGUGAUUCAUGGGGAGCAAACAGCUCAGAAAGAGACCAUCACUAUGAGAGAUGGCAAACAGCACAGAGCCAGGCUGCCUCUCCCUGCUUGCCAGGUGCCUCAGUAAAGCUGCGGGUAACUCCAAGCAGGACCAGACCAGAGACCCCAUGGAGCCAGACUGGCAAAAGCACACAAUGCUUCCUGACCAGAGCAGGAGUAGAGUUCAGUUGACAGGGUGACUUACAGAACUGGUUUUGAGGCACGUUAUUACGAAGGCAGGAGGGGUGAGGAAUACGAGUUUGAUAGAGUACUGUAAAAGAUAAAAUAAGCUUGAGGGUGCUGAUAAAUAUUACUCUUUAUCUGCAUGUACUAGGAAACAAAGCAAAAAUAUUCCCGUGUUCCCUUUCCUCUACUACCAGCUUCUUUGUUUGGACAGUGUCAGACCAUUUGUGGGUGGAGAAAUUUUGCUUGCUGAGGAAAAUCAAGGAGGAGACAUUUAGUUUUCCUAGGUCCCUGGGCUGAAGCUUGUUCUCGCUGAUUUUAAGGAGGAAACCCAAAUGUUAUGUGGAGAUCUUUGCUCCAGUUAACCAUACAAGAAACAACAACAAAAGCAGAAACUCUUGCAGUCUGCAAUAUCAGAAAAUUUGCUUGAAAAACAAUAGCAAUUUGAGUUACUGAAGGCAAUGAAAUAAUUGCUGGGGGGGGUAGGCAAUUCCUUUUGCACAUUUUAUAUUCCUAUGAAAUUAGCCACUAUCUUUGCAGGACAUUUUUCCAUGUGAUUAAUUGUGCUGCCCCAAAUCAGACAUAAUGAUGCACUGCUGAUACUGAAGAAAUGUUAUUUACCUUCACAUCACAAUUGCUGAAUGUCUGACUGUCAUUUUAUAAGAGAACUAAUCCCAGGAAAGUCUGGAUAAGUGAUAUCACUUUCAGGUAACAAGCACAGGGAAAAUUUAUGUUCAGAUAAAGCCUGAUCCUAUGAUAUAGAAUCUCAGCAGGUUUUCAUCGUUCAUCAUAGCAUAUUAGAGAAACACUGCAGUGCUGUUGCAACAACUUGCCUCAUUAUUCCCUCUCAGUCCUGCAAUCUUCCUUCCUUCUCUCCCAGUUCCACUCUAUCUUUGGCUUACUAUCUUCUUACCUUCUUGCCUGUAACCUCUUGAACUUGGAUCAGUUUUUCCAGACUCAGCAGAUGUAGGGCUGGUACACAAUCAUUAUUUCUGGAUUAAUCAAACACUGCAUCGAUCCUGAUGCACCCCCCCCACCUCCUCUUACCACCUCUCCAACCACUGCAUCUGACACAACCUCCCCAGCUCUUCUUAUAUGUUGAUCCUUCCUAAAAUUUCCACCUUUCCUACAUGCCAUUUCUGACUUCAUUUGCUGUCCUUUCUUGUGGCCCUGAGGAUGCUAGUAAGGCACCUCAUCCACAUUUUAGGGGAAGACUCUCUGGAGGUGGGGCAGAAAGGGAUGUAAGGCUUUGUACAGGAUGGCUAUACCACAUGGAGAAACAAUUUUACCAGUUGCAUUUGAAAUCGAAUUUUCCAGCAGGUGGACCAAGUGGGUAACAUAACAGUUACUUUUUAGGGAUUUGGACUACAUCCUCACACAGAGUUGGGAACUGUGGGAAAUUUCAAAACACAGAGGCUCUUUUUCAUGGCUGCCUUGGAUCAGUGGCUUAGUAAGAAGAGGACAAGACAGAAUGCUUUACUCAACUCUGAGCGAAGGAGAUUGUUCCCCAGGUGCUGUCAACACUGGUGCCCAUUGGCACACAGGCACUGGCAGCUCCUGUUCUUGGAGGAUAAAUUACUCCUUUAAUUUCUGCUCACUUCACAAAAGCCUGACUCGACUCCCAGCAUCAUUCAGGGCAUUGUGGCAGGUGCAGUCCCGCAGACAUGAUGCGCUGCCAUCUCCCCUCUCUCUGCCUGCUUCUUGGGUGUCAAGAGCAAUCAUUUCUCACAUGGCUGAAAUACCCAGCUGGGAGCACAGGGGCAGGUUUAGGGGCUGUUAGAGGGAAGGCACUGAGGCAGGUGUAGCAAGUGACAGAUUUUCAUGUAUGCCUGCUGAAGCUCUGUUAAUGCUUCACACGUGGAGUUUGAUACUGUAAUGGAAAAAUCAAUGCCAGGAUCACACUUUCACCACAUAUGUAAUAGCUUCUUGCGUGCAUCAUUAAUUACAUUUCUUGGCUUCUACCCCUAGGCUCACAAUGUUUUUCCUGCAGCUUUUUGUCAUUGUAUAUUAGUGAUUUGCAGAAGCUGAGCCUCAAAUAAAAAGUUGGGUUUUUUUCUUUUAAUACAGUGCUCAAUUACAUGCAAUAUAUGUGCAGUAAUCUGAGCUGUACCAGAUGAAUUAUCAGCCACAGUGGGUGAAAUUCUCUAGACAGAUGGUCAGAUUGAAUGGUUCAUGUAGUCUCCUUUGGCCCAAAAUCCACUAAUACUGGAUCAAGCUCUAUGCAGAGAGAUGCCCAGAGCCCAUCUCUUCUGAUUUCUAACUUCAGACCCCUCCUCAGGAGCAGAAGGCACCAACCCAGCUCGGGCUCUCAGCUCUGACACGCCAGCAGUACUGCCAAGAGGCUGCAUGUCUCAGGGAAGCCCAGUGGUCUGGCCUGCCAAACGAAGUGUAGUGGUUUGGCCAAAUGGGCCUCCAAUCUAUUAACUUCAUUUGACAACUGAAGGUCAAUUUCAAUAAUACUUAUAAUGCACCAUGCUAUAUCUGGUAAAAAGUAAUGAUGUCUUGGCUAAUGCAUCAUUUAAUGCUGUUAAAUUUUUGCUGAAACUGCUAGACUGUUUUUUUUUUCUUGUUUGUUUUUUAACAGCCUGAACAGCUUGGGUUUUCUUCAGUGAAACAGAGAGAUAGAUCCUGCUAGAAUAAUGUGUAAACAUAUAUUCUGAAGCUGAAAAAUGUCAUUAAGUUAGUCUUUGCAGUACAAACCAGUCCAGAGUGAAGGGGGAAGCAAAGCACUCCUGUUCCUCAGAAGAAGCCAAGUACUUACAAGCAAGGCUUUCCAGAAUGAAGUGUGCUGAGAGAAGGGAAGCAGCAUGGGGAACCAGAAUACAUCAGAGGCCACAUACCGAG